AUCUCUUCUCGGCCUUUUGGCUAAGAUUAAGUGUAGUAUCUGUGACAUUUUCAUACAUUGUCUUCAUGCCAUUUGAUCACCUUCU